rnacentral:rRNA from 1 species
GGUUAAGCGACUAAGCGUACACGGUGGAUGCCCUGGCAGUCAGAGGCGAUGAAGGACGUGCUAAUCUGCGAUAAGCGUCGGUAAGGUGAUAUGAACCGUUAUAACCGGCGAUUUCCGAAUGGGGAAACCCAGUGUGAUUCGUCACACUAUCAUUAACUGAAUCCAUAGGUUAAUGAGGCGAACCGGGGGAACUGAAACAUCUAAGUACCCCGAGGAAAAGAAAUCAACCGAGAUUCCCCCAGUAGCGGCGAGCGAACGGGGAGCAGCCCAGAGCCUGAAUCAGUGUGUGUGUUAGUGGAAGCGUCUGGAAAGGCGCGCGAUACAGGGUGACAGCCCCGUACACAAAAAUGCACAUGCUGUGAGCUCGAUGAGUAGGGCGGGACACGUGGUAUCCUGUCUGAAUAUGGGGGGACCAUCCUCCAAGGCUAAAUACUCCUGACUGACCGAUAGUGAACCAGUACCGUGAGGGAAAGGCGAAAAGAACCCCGGCGAGGGGAGUGAAAAAGAACCUGAAACCGUGUACGUACAAGCAGUGGGAGCACGCUUAGGCGUGUGACUGCGUACCUUUUGUAUAAUGGGUCAGCGACUUAUAUUCUGUAGCAAGGUUAACCGAAUAGGGGAGCCGAAGGGAAACCGAGUCUUAACUGGGCGUUAAGUUGCAGGGUAUAGACCCGAAACCCGGUGAUCUAGCCAUGGGCAGGUUGAAGGUUGGGUAACACUAACUGGAGGACCGAACCGACUAAUGUUGAAAAAUUAGCGGAUGACUUGUGGCUGGGGGUGAAAGGCCAAUCAAACCGGGAGAUAGCUGGUUCUCCCCGAAAGCUAUUUAGGUAGCGCCUCGUGAAUUCAUCUCCGGGGGUAGAGCACUGUUUCGGCAAGGGGGUCAUCCCGACUUACCAACCCGAUGCAAACUGCGAAUACCGGAGAAUGUUAUCACGGGAGACACACGGCGGGUGCUAACGUCCGUCGUGAAGAGGGAAACAACCCAGACCGCCAGCUAAGGUCCCAAAGUCAUGGUUAAGUGGGAAACGAUGUGGGAAGGCCCAGACAGCCAGGAUGUUGGCUUAGAAGCAGCCAUCAUUUAAAGAAAGCGUAAUAGCUCACUGGUCGAGUCGGCCUGCGCGGAAGAUGUAACGGGGCUAAACCAUGCACCGAAGCUGCGGCAGCGACGCUGAUGCGUUGUUGGGUAGGGGAGCGUUCUGUAAGCCUGUGAAGGUGUGCUGUGAGGCAUGCUGGAGGUAUCAGAAGUGCGAAUGCUGACAUAAGUAACGAUAAAGCGGGUGAAAAGCCCGCUCGCCGGAAGACCAAGGGUUCCUGUCCAACGUUAAUCGGGGCAGGGUGAGUCGACCCCUAAGGCGAGGCCGAAAGGCGUAGUCGAUGGGAAACAGGUUAAUAUUCCUGUACUUGGUGUUACUGCGAAGGGGGGACGGAGAAGGCUAUGUUGGCCGGGCGACGGUUGUCCCGGUUUAAGCGUGUAGGCUGGUUUUCCAGGCAAAUCCGGAAAAUCAAGGCUGAGGCGUGAUGACGAGGCACUACGGUGCUGAAGCAACAAAUGCCCUGCUUCCAGGAAAAGCCUCUAAGCAUCAGGUAACAUCAAAUCGUACCCCAAACCGACACAGGUGGUCAGGUAGAGAAUACCAAGGCGCUUGAGAGAACUCGGGUGAAGGAACUAGGCAAAAUGGUGCCGUAACUUCGGGAGAAGGCACGCUGAUAUGUAGGUGAAGCGACUUGCUCGUGGAGCUGAAAUCAGUCGAAGAUACCAGCUGGCUGCAACUGUUUAUUAAAAACACAGCACUGUGCAAACACGAAAGUGGACGUAUACGGUGUGACGCCUGCCCGGUGCCGGAAGGUUAAUUGAUGGGGUCAGCGCAAGCGAAGCUCUUGAUCGAAGCCCCGGUAAACGGCGGCCGUAACUAUAACGGUCCUAAGGUAGCGAAAUUCCUUGUCGGGUAAGUUCCGACCUGCACGAAUGGCGUAAUGAUGGCCAGGCUGUCUCCACCCGAGACUCAGUGAAAUUGAACUCGCUGUGAAGAUGCAGUGUACCCGCGGCAAGACGGAAAGACCCCGUGAACCUUUACUAUAGCUUGACACUGAACAUUGAGCCUUGAUGUGUAGGAUAGGUGGGAGGCUUUGAAGUGUGGACGCCAGUCUGCAUGGAGCCGGCCUUGAAAUACCACCCUUUAAUGUUUGAUGUUCUAACGUUGACCCGUGAUCCGGGUUGCGGACAGUGUCUGGUGGGUAGUUUGACUGGGGCGGUCUCCUCCUAAAGAGUAACGGAGGAGCACGAAGGUUGGCUAAUCCUGGUCGGACAUCAGGAGGUUAGUGCAAUGGCAUAAGCCAGCUUGACUGCGAGCGUGACGGCGCGAGCAGGUGCGAAAGCAGGUCAUAGUGAUCCGGUGGUUCUGAAUGGAAGGGCCAUCGCUCAACGGAUAAAAGGUACUCCGGGGAUAACAGGCUGAUACCGCCCAAGAGUUCAUAUCGACGGCGGUGUUUGGCACCUCGAUGUCGGCUCAUCACAUCCUGGGGCUGAAGUAGGUCCCAAGGGUAUGGCUGUUCGCCAUUUAAAGUGGUACGCGAGCUGGGUUUAGAACGUCGUGAGACAGUUCGGUCCCUAUCUGCCGUGGGCGCUGGAGAACUGAGGGGGGCUGCUCCUAGUACGAGAGGACCGGAGUGGACGCAUCACUGGUGUUCGGGUUGUCAUGCCAAUGGCACUGCCCGGUAGCUAAAUGCGGAAGAGAUAAGUGCUGAAAGCAUCUAAGCACGAAACUUGCCCCGAGAUGAGUUCUCCCUGACUCCUUGAGAGUCCUGAAGGAACGUUGAAGACGACGACGUUGAUAGGCCGGGUGUGUAAGCGCAGCGAUGCGUUGAGCUAACCGGUACUAAUGAACCGUGAGG